rnacentral:lncRNA from 1 species
AUGAAAUCGUUGGAGUACAAUCUUUGGACUAAACAGAUAAUAACUUUUUUCUUUUUAUAAUAAAGUUUAACAUAUUCAAGUCAUUAGUAACAAUAAUAUGCUUUGGAUUCACUUGGAAAAAAUGUCGCACUAAUGCAAAAGGUGUUUUGGAGGGAGUAAAUUGUUAAGUAUUUUGAAAUAGCAGAAUAGCAACAGCCACUUUAUAAUGCAGUACUUGACAAAAUAGAGCUGAAUUUAAGAACUUGAAGGACUUGUUCACAUUCAAAUAAGGACCCAAAGAGCUUUAAUCCAGGGAACAACAAUAAAACGUUCUUAGUUUAUAGUUCAACUUUUGACAAAAUGUACUGCAUUUAGGAAAAAAAAUAGCAAAUCUGGUAUGUUAAACCUAUUCGAUAAAUAGAACAAGAGGCGGUAAUAGCAAGAUUAACCAUACAAGAGAUGUUAGCAUUAUUUGUUUUAGUAAGAAGACAAUUAUUGUGUCUCAAAUUUUGGAGAUGCCAUUUUCACAGCUAUCCAUAUUACAACUGUCUUCAGAACCUUUAACUUAAUCAACAUUUAAAAGUAAUAAGUCAAGGAAACAACAACAUAGCACUCAACUUGGAUAAAUAUCCACAAAAUAAAAGAAAGCACUUAAAUAAUUAAUUGUUUGGGAAUUUUUUUGAACUAUAGAUGGAUAAUAGGCAUAGAUUAAAUUGAUAAACGAAAACAGGGCCUUUUUAAGGGCAGAAAUCCCCUAUUGAAUAGAUGGGUAAUUUCUUGAACAAGUUCUAUUUUAGAUAAUUGAAGCACCAUUGGACAGAGACAAUUAAUAUGACAACACAAAUAAUGAUGUUAAAUUUAUUAUUGCUUGUUAUUCCCUCCGUUUACUUUUACUUGUCCAUUAUUUUUUAAAAAAAAAUAGAUUUUCGAUUAUACUUGUUACUUUUAACAUAUCAAAAAGAGACCAAAACAAAAAAUCCUAAUUUACCAUCAACAUUAAUUACUUCGUCCCCAAAUCAUUUUUCAAGAUCCAAGUAUAGAUAUCAAUUAAUAUUGAGUUUUAUGGUAAAACAAUACUCAUAUUAAUCACUGUUUCUUAAGAACCAUGUAAAAUUAGAAGUAGACAACUAAAUGUGAACGGAGAAAGUACAUAUCAAAAUUUAUGGUUAAUUGAAUUCGAAAGGUUAGCUUUCCCCACUAAGCUAAUUGACUAAGAACUCUACAUGUAGCUCAAACAACUUGAC